rnacentral:lncRNA from 1 species
GGGACAUAGGUUCUCCCCAGAGUCCAAUGGGGACUCCAGGGUGGGGUGGGCGAGUGUCAGGCGGGGGGUCCCCAAAAGAGCGUCCCCUAGACAUGGGCGGACAUAGGGGGUGGUCCAGGAUUGCUGACCACGCCCCUCCCGCCUCUCGUCUGGGGAAGGAGAUUUUGGCGACAACACGUGGCAGGUCCUGCAGCGGCGUCUCUAGGGGGUCCACCCUUCCUGGGCCUCAGAUGGGUCCUCUAGGAGGUGGGGACGGGGCUGGCGCAAUUCUGGAGGCCCUGAGCUCGGUGGACUCCCAGUGUUGGGGUGCCCAGGUGGCACGCAGAACAGUUUUCCUUGAAGCUGGGGAGCUGUCACUUGGGGAACCCAAGAUCAUGGGGGACAUUGUGGGGGAGGAAGGUGGAGUUGUCUUUCCAGGUAAAUGAAAUCCGCUCCACCCAGACCCAAGCGCAAGGUCUUGGCCGUGGCCUGUGGCCGAAGGGCAGACAGUCAGCAAUCUCUUGAGACCCCGGCAUGCCCAAACCAUGGAGGGGACAGGUGGGGACAGUCAGGCUGCUACCAUGUUGGGAUUCCCAGCGAGAGACACAAGCUAGAGACCACUGAGGGCCCCCCCAAAGGGUGUGGGUGGGCAUCUUUGGGGUUUUGAGCUACAGUCGUCCUCCCCAGGAGAUGUCUUCUCCCCCCUCCUGAGUGCCCCACUGUCCCAGGCCCCUGUUCUGUCCCCUAGAGAUGAGGAAAUUGAGGCCUAGUGGGGAAGGUGACAUUAAGUGUGGGAUUUUGGGGAAGCCAGGGACAUGCGUCCCCAGCACUAUGAAUACAGAAGACAGGUGACAGCCCAGAACCCUGGAAACGAAGCCAACCCCCUCACCCAGGAAGAAGGGACAAGGACCACCCGGAUUUCCUAACAGAAAGGGAAGUGGUUUCCGAAAAGUCCCCCUGGGCUGAGCCCUUGUGACACCAGCCAGCAGAAAGUGUCUUAUGGGGACUUUGCCCUUGAACCUGGAUUCAGGUCCACCCAGGCCGUGGUCCUGGCCCCGGGUGCCUAGAAGUUUCCAUACAUGAAUGAAAGAGAGGCAGAAAAGAUGGGGUCCCUCCCGCCCCCUGGGGGACAGUUAUUUUUUGGGGAACAGGUGUCAUCCAAGACUGAGCAGAGGUGUCCCCUCUGGGGAGGUGGUUAAGUGGCAGCCACACCUGCAGUGGACCAGGGUGCAGAGAGAUGGAACUGGAACGAUCGGCAGAGAGACGGCCCAGGACAGCAGGGGAUGGGACCGGGCCACCAGGGGCUUGUGCUUGGGUCUCUUGAGAGGUCAAAGGGGGACUAGAGCUGGGGAUCCUAGUGGAACCCAAGCCCUGGGCACCUAGGCUUGUUGUUCCUCAGGCUGGGAUGUCUCCAGACAGUACAGGGAGAGGAGGUCCCUGCGAAGGUGCUGGUAGGCACAUUUGCAGCGGGUCUAGUGGGGACAGCCCAAUUAGUGUCACUUGUGACACCACAGGCUGAGGAGGUGACUCCAUUGGAGACGAUCUGUCAGAAAGUAAGGAGGGAGACCAGGGGUGAGUGGGGUCAUGGAAGCUAAGGAGGAGAGAGUUUCAAGAAAGAAGGGUCCACCUGACCCCAGUCCAGUCCCCAGGCUGGGUGGGCCAGUGGUCAGCGCACACGGCCACCAAGACCGUCACCGCCCUGAGCCCCUGUGUCCAGACUCUUCAUUGGUACUUUACGAGACCUGUGGGAAACAUCCGGGUAUUUUCUUUUUUCAGUAGGACCUGUCCCCUCGGGUACCCUGAACCCCCAGAUAAAGUAGCUCUUCUAACCUCUUCUCAAAGUUAUUUUUCAGAAACAAUGUCCCCUCUACAAGCCACCCAGGGAAGCAGGACCAGUGGCCCAGAGGAGACCCUGACUUCAUGAGAAGGCCCAGGUCUGUCCCCGGGGAUGGCCACAGUGGGCCUCCUUCAUCUCCAUCAGGAGGGGCCUCUUGGGGACCCUCCCUGAGCCACAACGUGGUGAUGUCAACCUCCCCCAGCCCCAAAGUAAAGUAUUCGGGGUGUCGUGGCUUUUCGGAGGUGACUCCUUGUG